GUUAAAAAUGAACAGAUCAACCUUUUACUCUUCUCUGAAAAAUAUAGUGAAAUUAGUAAUCAAGAACGAUUUUCUGAAAUGAAAACAUCCAAACAGCAUACUGUAAAGACAUUCAGGGGAAAAUAAAAUAGGUAAUUUCACCACUGUCUUUCACCAAGUUGAUUCAUUUUGAACUGGCUCCAGCAAUCUACUCAGAGUUGACCUCAGAGCAAAAAAUUGAAGUGGGUCAGAACCCACCAAAAACAAAAGAUUCUGGUCCAGAUCAGAAGAGAGGGAAACACUCUGAAAAAGUCCCUCAAAUACAAAAUUAAACAGAGUUUAAAUGAUGUGCUUGACCACAAAAAAAGCCUUCUUGCUCUAACAGCUCCAUAUGUUGAUGUGAACUGUGACUCCAGGAGAAUGGUGGAAAAGUGUCUUGAUCCAGGAAGGAAGGGGUAUAGAGAAAAUAUGAGUCUCACCACACUAGAAGCAACAUAUGCAAAAUCCAUCAAACACACCAUAAAAUCAAUGUGGGAGUAACACCACCUUGGCCUACUGCUCCCUGAAAAGUUUUUCUCUAGUCAAGUGAUGACAGGAGUACAUUUAUAAAUAAAUUACCAAGUUGCUUUUGAUUUGAUGGAGAAGGAAGAAAAGGAUUGUCUCCUGGAAGUACUUUUAUUAUCUUAAUAGGUAGGAUAAUAUCUCUGUUCAGCAAACUGAGAUGUUUUGAGAAUCUUAACAAAUGUAUACCCCUCCCUCUCACCUUUUCCUUGCUGGUGUAUUUCACAGGCAGCUUUGCUAGCUGACUGCACUACUACAAAUAGAUUCUGUCACUUUAGAAAUAGGAUUUUUCCUUUUAUAGGCAGAUUGAUGGACUAAGUGUCAAGGUUUUAGAACAGUAGCAUGACUGGGGCAGACACUAUAAACCAUAAAUCCAGUAUUGACAAAUGUCCUAGCCAAUCCAGAUGUUUCUAUUUGUUAAAUUGCCUUUAUGAAGUCAUAGUUGUACAGCACAGAAUAUGGAAAAUAAUUGACAAGUUCUGAGAAGCCAGUUACUGAGCU
rnacentral:lncRNA from 1 species